GUCUCGGCUCGAACAACGAUGAAGGGCGCAGCGAAGUGUGAUAAACAUUGUGAAUUGCAGAAUUCCGUGAACCAAUAGGGAUUUGAACGUAUACUGCGCUUUCGGGAUAUCCCUGAAAGCAUGCCUACUUCAGUGCCUCUACCUUCUAAUGCCAGUAGCUUUAUGCUCUUCGGGGCUAGCUGCUUGUGCGUAUUUGUGCGUUAAAUUGCGCAGUAUGUGUGCG
rnacentral:rRNA from 1 species